rnacentral:rRNA from 1 species
UCCAGACUCCUACGGGAGGCAGCAGUGAGGAAUAUUGGUCAAUGGGCGGAAGCCUGAACCAGCCAAGUCGCGUGAGGGAAUAAGGCCCUACGGGUCGUAAACCUCUUUUGCCGGGGAGCAAGGGCGGGGACGUGUCCCGGCCCGGAGAGUGCCCGGAGAAAAAGCAUCGGCUAACUCCGUGCCAGCAGCCGCGGUAAUACGGAGGAUGCGAGCGCUAUCCGGAUUUAUUGGGUUUAAAGGGUGCGUAGGCGGGCUUUUAAGUCAGCGGUAAAAAUUCGGGGCUCAACCCCGUACUGCCGUUGAAACUGCAUCCCUUGAGUGCGCGAGAAGUAUGCGGAAUGCGUGGUGUAGCGGUGAAAUGCAUAGAUAUCGCGCAGAACUCCGAUUGCGAAGGCAGCAUGCCGGCUCCACACUGACGCUGAGGCACGAAAGCGUGGGUAUCGAACAGGAUUAGAUACCCUUGUACU